UGGUGGCACCAACCGGGACUAAAGGGAUGCAUUGGUACUGGUUCGUGACACCAACUAGGACCAAUGCCCCCCUUUAGUCCCGGUUGGUGCCACGAA
rfam:Triticum aestivum genome assembly, contig: Triticum_aestivum_CS42_TGACv1_scaffold_556622_7AL